AAUACAAAACUAGCACAAGUCAGGUUUAUGGCGGUGUGAAAAGUAGCUCUGUUUUCUGGAACGUCUAUUUUAGGAUGUCCGCAGAUCGAUUAGAUGAUUUGCGAGAGCGUAACAAACGUCUGCUGGAGCAGCUGCAGCAGCAAAGAGUGAAUUUAGAGCAAAUCAGCGGCUGCAGCGAGAGCCGCAAGAGGGGGAGAGAGGCCGAGGUGACGGUGACUCGAACGGACGGAGACCGUGCUCCUGCCAGGGCAGCCCUAGCUAAACCUUCCGUGAGAUUUGCCGAUACCCUUGAGCUACACGAGGAAAACCAAAACACUAUUUACUCUCCAUCUGGGACUUCCAAAUCCAGAGGAGCAACGCCUAAAUGCAGGACACAACACAGAAACAGAAAUGUCCCAAUCAGGCUGCAGGACACACAGGAUCCACUCUGGUCCAGUCAAGCUGGACAAAACAAAGACCAGGGGGAGGUCCAAAGACAAGUAGCAUUUCAGUCUGAUGAAGAAGAGGAUGCUGCUGCCUUAUUCAGUCAUCGUUUGCAGCCUUUACUAGGAUACGACUGGAUAGCAGGAGUUUUGGAUACAAAGGACACGCUGGUGGAACAAUCUGAUGAGUUCUUCAAAGAUCUUUGUGUGUUUCGAUCGCUCUAUAAGGAUGAAUGUAUCCAUGAUUCAAAAGCAGAGCGCUUUGAGGAGAACCAUCUGUUCCCUCCAGUCCUGACAGAUAAAGACCACCAGGAAGCAAAUUCAGAAUCCCAUCAGUGUACCUUCUCUUACAGGAUUAACAGCAGACUGUUUCCAGUUCCACUUCACUCCCAGGAGUGCUGCCCAGUGUGCAAAAAGCAUAAAUCAUCCCACCCUCACACUGCUGCUGAGCCUGCUCUUAUCAGGGUCAGCAUUCCUCGCACCGCCCUCCUGCAGCCCUAUAAGUACAAAGCUCAUCGGCGGUGCAGCUUCGACCCUUCUGACAGUUUGGGAUUACCAUCGCAUUGCCUCUCAGGCUCGUCGAACACGGGUCAGAACACCCUGAGACCGCCCGGCAGCCUUGACCUCCGGAGCAGUCUCGAGACAAGGAGCUCUGAGAACUCAUCAAAUGCAGAACUGCAGUUUCAAGCUGUGACUGAAAAACAACACAUUUGGGACUACGACUUCGAAAAGAUCACAAGAAGUUGAGGCAGAAUUUUUAUUUUCACACCUGAUUUGUUUUAAUAUAAACCAAUCACUGUCAACGAGAACAACGACCUCUCUGCAUCCAAAAGAGACGGAAACGUAAAGAUGGCUGAUGUGUCUCGCAUGGCUCGACACAACUUCCAACACUUCCUGCCAAGGAGAAAUCUGAGAACCAAAACUUAUCCUGAAUACUGAGAAAUCAUAGUUUUAGCCCCAAGCUCACGUUUAAAGAGAGCUUUUCCUUUUUGGUAGUUUUUUACAUAUUAAGUAGAAUUCUUAGAAACAAAUAAUAAAGUGAACCAAACAUUAGAAGCAGA